rnacentral:rRNA from 1 species
UACGUAGGGUCCGAGCGUUGUCCGGAAUUAUUGGGCGUAAAGGGCUCGUAGGCGGUCUGUUGCGUCGGGAGUGAAAACUUACAGCUUAACUGUGAGCGUGCUUUCGAUACGGGCAGACUUGAGGCAUUCAGGGGAGAACGGAAUUCCUGGUGUAGCGGUGAAAUGCGCAGAUAUCAGGAGGAACACCGGUGGCGAAGGCGGCUCUCUGGGACGGUACUGACGCUGAGACGCGAAAGCGUGGGGAGCGAACAGG